UUAAGUCUAGUUCAGGGAUCAGGGCUGCUUCCCUGUUAUGGUAAUUAAACUUUGGAACAUUAAGACAAGGUCUGGGAGAGAUGAUUAGAUAGAUGGUAUAUCUCUAUUCAUUUUCCUCCCAGCCUAUAAAA